rnacentral:rRNA from 1 species
UUGCACGCUGGCGGCAUGCCUUACACAUGCAAGUCGAACGGUAACGGGCCUUCGGGUGCCGACGAGUGGCGAACGGGUGAGUAAUACAUCGGAACGUGCCCGAUCGUGGGGGAUAACGAGGCGAAAGCUUUGCUAAUACCGCAUACGAUCUACGGAUGAAAGCAGGGGACCGCAAGGCCUUGCGCGGACGGAGCGGCCGAUGGCAGAUUAGGUAGUUGGUGGGAUAAAAGCUUACCAAGCCGACGAUCUGUAGCUGGUCUGAGAGGAUGAUCAGCCACACUGGGACUGAGACACGGCCCAGACUCCUACGGGAGGCAGCAGUGGGGAAUUUUGGACAAUGGGCGCAAGCCUGAUCCAGCCAUGCCGCGUGCAGGAGGAAGGCCUUCGGGUUGUAAACUGCUUUUGUACGGAACGAAAAGCCUUCUUUUAAUACAGGAGGGUCAUGACGGUACCGUAAGAAUAAGCACCGGCUAACUACGU